UCUUCAGAAACUUUCAUGGUUGAAUCAAAGCGGUAUAUAAUUUAAUGCCAGGCAUAGCCUAAGAUGUUUUGAGUCAUUACUCUGAGUUUUGUUUUUACACUGAGGCCUACACCUUAUUUUCAGUUUUAUUUUCACCGCAAUCAUUGUUAUUGAUCAGGUGCAACUACUUAUACAUCAUUAACCUUUCAUAAAUUAUUUUAUUAGGUCACUGUGAACACACAAAAAGCACAUAAUUAACUGAUCUACUGAUCCAUUAUUCGGAAAUAAAUCGUUGUUAUUCACUGACUGCAUGUGAGCACCACACCAAAUGAUGCGCAUCGCUUGUUUGCAUAGGCCACGUCAUUAACAAACUUUCACUGACAAGAAAGAAAUCUUUCAUAGGUACACAGCGAAUCAUUUCCAGAUACACCGCGUAUAGCAAGUCUCACAGUUUACAGGAAAUACUGCAACCCAUCUACUGGAACCAACAUGGGAAUUUUGUGUCAUAACAAUGAGAUAUAGCCUUGAAUAAACGCCAGUGCACUAAGUGGGGCUAAAAGCAAAAGAUUUGAUCUGAUAACCUAGAAUAGACUAAACCAUAGGCUAUUGCCCAUCUACCGUCCACGCAUAAUCCCGUAAAUUAUACUGUUGCCAUGGACGUCUCACGAACUAAGUAGCCUAAACUUUGACAAACUAUGAAGACUGAAUAUUGAAGUAACUUUUACACACCAAAGGUUCUCUGUCCCCACACAUCUCAGUAGCCAGGAGACAGCUCGGAAACAUUGCAAAUACGUCUGACAUCAGAGAAAAUACUGACCCAGAAAAUGAAGUAGCCUUGGUUGUUUGUUUGAAGUAUCUUAUAUGAAUAGGCCUCUGAUGUAGGAUACAUAUAAUGGUACAUAUACACCAUGCAAUCUAAUUUUCAAAUUGUGAAAAGUAGAAAAGUAAUUUGUUCUUGCUUAGGCUAUUAGUGACAACACUUAAAGAAACUUUCAGAACUAUGGGCUACUCUCACUUUGCGCCAAAGUGCGUCUUAAUGAAUCUGUCAGUGAAACAAAUGCCCACAACACUUACUUUUGAAUUGGGCUUGACUUUCUUCUUAAACACUCACUUGCUUCUAUCCAUAAUAUGAAAGAUAUUUUGGAAAUCUCGUUUCUUGCUAACUUUGAGAAGUAGCCUACUACAAAGAUGCGGGCUACACUGCGUUUGUCUGCUGCCCCGAACGUGACUUGUAGACUGAUAACAAAGUUUACCACACAAAUAAUAAACAAAAAUAUCAGGAUAUGCUUACAAAAAACACCUGAUAUAUCUCAUAAGUUAUAACAUGUUGGAUAAACAAAACAAACAAAAGAAGACAUGCAACAACUACUUUGAAGAAUCACCAUGGGUCUUUGUCGCUUUUCUAAAAUAUUCUCAAGCUCAGAGCAUGUUGCUAUGCCUACGCGUUUUCUUAUCUUUGAGAAACAUCAGUUACGGAAAGUUGAAAAAGUUACGUGGAAAACGUUAUCAUCAUAGCGCUACGGUCGUUACAUUUUAAAUUCUCCCCACAUAGGAUACUAUUUUAAGUUUUAGGAACUGUAGUUCUGAAUAUGAUACUUUGUAUAACCCCCUACCAUGCGCUUUCUCACAAACAAUGAAAAUAAAUACACGCGCUGCGGCAAAGAAGACUCCACAUCUUGUCACAUCUGAAAUAGGACCGCGUUAGCACAGACUUCAAAUGCUAUAGCUUCCACAUAGACUACACCAUACGUUCGAAUUUACAACACCUCAACGCGACUGCAUUUCAACAGAAUGAAAUAAAAGGAUUUCAAGAAAUGGGAAGGAAAAAGGGGGAUCUAAGAUUUCGAAUUUCUCCUGUGCAAGUGGAAUCGGGGUGACUGUGUUUGAUAUUAAAAACGCCUGAGACUGGAUGGAAAAAAGGAGGUUAGUUUGCAGUGAUCUCAGUUCUUUAUCAGAAAUGUUAUCGCUUGUCAGGACCUCAGACUCCAAGCAUUACGUCAGUUUCAAGACACCAACACUAUUAAUAUCAAGAAGCCCUUGCGGAGGAAAGCGCCACCCUAGACCGAGUGUUCUUAAAGGCACAGGGACCUAGUUCGCCGCUCACAGUCAGACCAUUGCUUAAUUAUUCAAACCGAUUUC
ensembl:lncRNA